UGUGGGAUUAGGGGCCUGGGAUUGCCCAUUACUUGAGGAAAGAUGCGGAGGUUCGUUUCUAUCAGUUGUUCCUUGGGUAAAAUUACUGAGUAGGUCUUGAGGUCAUUUACAUACAGUUGUUGUCUGAUCUCAAGAUAGAGGCCCCACUCAAACUUUCUUAUCUUUCUGUCUUUGUCCAUCAUGCUCUUCGGAGAGUAUCUGCCCAAGUUCAAGAAUUUUCGGGCAUACUCAGACACUGUCAUAUCGUCCU
rnacentral:lncRNA from 1 species